AUCUGAGAUAGCUCGGAUGAUAAAGCAUGGGACUCUUAAUCUUAGGGUCAUGGGUUUGAGCCCCACCUUGGGCA